rnacentral:rRNA from 1 species
CUCCGUUAAAUCCGGCGAUUCAAUCGCUAGACUGCGGUGGAUACUACCAGGCUAGGGGGCGGGAGAGGUCGACGGUAGUCCUGGGGUAGGGGUGAAAUCCUAUAAUCCCGGGAGGACCACCAGUGGCGAAGGCGGUCGACUAGAACGCGCCCGACGGUGAUGGACGAAAGCUGGGGGAGCGAACCGGAUUAGAUACCCGGGUAGUCCCAGCUGUAAACGAUGCAGGCUAGGUGUUGGAACGGCUACGGGCCGUUCCGGUGCCGCAGGGAAGCUAUUAAGCCUGCCGCCUGGGAAGUACGGCCGCAAGGCUGAAACUUAAAGGAAUUGGCGGGGGAGCACCACAAGGGGUGAAGCCUGCGGUUUAAUUGGAGUCAACGCCGGGAAACUUACCGGGGAAGACAGCAGGAUGAAGGUCAGAUUGAAGGUCUUACUGGACAAGCUGAGAGGAGGUGCAUGGCCGUCGCCAGUUCGUGCCGUGAGGUGUCCUGUUAAGUCAGGCAACGAACGAGACCCUCACCCUUAGUUGCCAGCGGACCCCUACGGGGUGCCGGGCACACCAAGGGGACUGCCAUCGACAAGAUGGAGGAAGGAGGGGGCCACGGCAGGUCAGCAUGCCCCGAAUUCCCCGGGCCACACGCGGGCUGCAAUGGUGGGGACAGUGGGCUCCAACCCCGAAAGGGGAAGGUAAUCCCGAAACCCCGCCUCAGUUGGGAUCGAGGGCUGAAACCCGCCCUCGUGAA